GAGGGUAAAUAUUUGAUCAAAUUGAUUUAUUUAUAUUAGAGUUAAGCAAACUAAUUGAUUUUUAUAACCAAUGGUUUAAUUAAACUAUGAUUUAUAUUAUGAUAUUAAUACCUUAAGUUUAACUUUAUAAUUAGAGUUUAAGCUCCAUUAAUUGGUUAUUUAGUGAUUAAAUGAUUAUGGGUAAAUCAAGUAAUUUUAUAAGGUUUAUUAAAGGUUAUUAAUACUUGAAUAAAGCUUAGUUUUGAUUAUUGGGAAUUAAUCAAUGGAAUUUAAGAUUAAAUUCGUAUUUAAUUUUAUUGGUUUAAAAUGAACUUGGAGAUUCUGUAAUUUAAUUGAAAUAAUAGAAGUAAUGUGAUCAUAAUCAUAUAUUUAUUUUAUAUGACAUUCCAGAACUUUAAACUUUCAUAUUUAUUAGUUUAAAAGGUUUUAAUUGAAUUGUUAAGUUUUCUAGCUUUAUAUUAAAUUGAGAAAAAUAUUUAUAAUGUUCAAUUAUUCAUUUAAAAAUUAUUUCAGCUAUAAACAAAUUGAUGAUUUAUUUAAUGAUCAGACUUGGGGAAUUUAAUUUAUCAAUUUUAGUACUUAAAUCAUUUUUAUAAGUUUUUAUGAAUUUAUUAACUAUUUAAUUGAUAAAAAGGGUAAAACGGUAACUUCACAUACCUUAAGGUUAUUUUUGUAAUUUUGAUAAACUUAAGGACUUCUGAAGAAUCACCUAUAAAUACAAGGACUUAAGUGAAUAGUAUCUUUAUUAUUUACUUAAAAAUUAAAAAGAGUUAUUAUUUAAUAUUAUGCAGCGUUGACUGGCGGUUCAGUUCGAUACCUCUCGUGGUAAAAGGUCAUCAGAGUGCGUAGCGGAAGCAUAAUGAAUCUUUCAGUAAUGGAUAAAAGUCAGAGAAGAUUGUCUUCUCAUAUUUUCUGUAAUAAAAGUCACGAUCGCGAUCGAUCCUAGAGUUGACGUUCGUACAAAUUUUUGUACUACUAUUAUUACUCGGGUUAAUGGGUAUUAUAUCCUAUCGUUAUACUCACGUUAAUUC